ACAGCAGUCGCCACGGUAAUACGUAGGGUGCAAGCGUUAAUCGGAAUUACUGGGCGUAAAGCGUGCGCAGGCGGUUAUAUAAGACAGAUGUGAAAUCCCCGGGCUCAACCUGGGAACUGCAUUUGUGACUGUAUAGCUAGAGUACGGCAGAGGGGGAUGGAAUUCCGCGUGUAGCAGUGAAAUGCGUAGAUAUGCGGAGGAACACCGAUGGCGAAGGCAAUCCCCUGGGCCUGUACUGACGCUCAUGCACGAAAGCGUGGGGAGCAAACAGGAUUAGAUACCCGUGUAGUUUCUGUCUCUUAUAA
rnacentral:rRNA from 1 species